GGGAAACCGGAAGCUAAUACCGGAUAGUUCCUUGAACCGCAUGGUUCAAGGAUGAAAGACGGUUUCGGCUGUCACUUACAGAUGGACCCGGCGGCGCAUUAGCUAGUUGGUGGGGUAAUGGCUCACACAAGGCGACGAUGCGUAGCCGACCUGAGAGGGUGAUCGCGCCACACGUGGGACUGAGACACGGCCCAGUACUCCUACGGGAGAGCAGCCAGUAGGGAAUCUCUCCGCAAUGGACGAAAGUCUGACGGAAGCAACGCCGCGUGAAGUGAUGAAGGUUUUCGGAUCGUAAAGCUCUGUUGUUAGGGAAGAACAAGUGCGAGAGUAACUGCUCGCACCUUGACGGUACCUAACCAGAAAGCCACGGCUAACUACGUGCCAGCAGCCGCGGUAAUACGUAGGUGGCAAGCGUUGUCCGGAAUUAUUGGGCGUAAAGGGCUCGCAGGCGGUUUCUUAAGUCUGAUGUGAAAGCCCCCGGCUCAACCGGGGAGGGUCAUUGGAAACUGGGAAACUUGAGUGCAGAAGAGGAGAGUGGAAUUCCACGUGUAGCGGUGAAAUGCGUAGAGAUGUGGAGGAACACCAGUGGCGAAGGCGACUCUCUGGUCUGUAACUGACGCUGAGGAGCGAAAGCGUGGGGAGCGAACAGGAUUAGAUACCCUGGUAGUCCACGCCGUAAACGAUGAGUGCUAAGUGUUUAGGGGGUUUCCGCCCCUUAGUGCUGCAGCUAACGCAUUAAGCACUCCGCCUGGGGGAGUACGGUCGCAAGACUGAAACUCAAAGGAAUUGACGGGGGCCCGCACAAGCGGUGGAGCAUGGUGGUUUAAUUCGAAGCAACGCGAAGAACCUUACCAGGUCUUGACAUCCUCUGACAACCCUAGAGAUAGGGCUUUCCCUUCGGGGACAGAGUGACAGGUGGUGCAUGGUUGUCGUCAGCUCGUGUCGUGAGAUGUUUGGGUU
rnacentral:rRNA from 2 species